rnacentral:lncRNA from 1 species
UUUUAUUCUCAAAGGGGUUUGUGUGUGUGUCGUUUAGGGAUGGCAGAAAUUCCCGCGAGAGUGGGUCCUCGUUGAGUCCUCGACUCUAACGGGGGGAGAUUUCGGGGCAAAACGGGUAUUAGGUACAACGAACUCAACUUGAAUAUAUAUAUGUUUAUAUUUAAAUAAAUAAUUAAAUAAUUAUAAUAUUUAUGUUUAACCCUAAGUUAACCUCCCUCUCUUAAUUCUUCCUAAUCUUAUCUAGUCUCCAACCGCACCUCUCUCUCUCUCUCUCUCUCCC